GACAGAGGGUGCAAACGUUGCUCGGAAUUACUGGGCGUAAAGCGCGUGUAGGCGGAUAGACGAGUCAGGUGUGAAAUCCCUGGGCUCAACCCAGGAACUGCAUUUGAAACUGUCUGUCUUGAGUAAUGGAGAGGAAAGCGGAAUUCCUGGUGUAGAGGUGAAAUUCGUAGGUAUCAGGAGGAACACCGGUGGCGAAGGCGGCUUUCUGGACAUUUACUGACGCUGAGACGCGAAAGCGUGGGGAGCAAACAGG
rnacentral:rRNA from 1 species